rnacentral:rRNA from 1 species
AGCGAACGCUGGCGGCAGGCUUAACACAUGCAAGUCGAACGCCCCGCAAGGGGAGUGGCGGACGGGUGAGUAACACGUGGGAACGUACCCUUUGGUUCGGAAUAACUUGGGGAAACUCAAGCUAAUACCGGAUAAGCCCUUAUGGGGAAAGGUUUACUGCCGAAGGAUCGGCCCGCGUCUGAUUAGCUAGUUGGUGAUGUAAUGGCUCACCAAGGCGACGAUCAGUAGCUGGUCUGAGAGGAUAAUCAGCCACACUGGGACUGAGACACGGCCCAGACUCCUACGGGAGGCAGCAGUGGGGAAUAUUGGACAAUGGGGGCAACCCUGAUCCAGCCAUGCCGCGUGAGUGAUGAAGGCCUUAGGGUUGUAAACCUCUUUCAGCACCGACGAAGCGCAAGUGACGGUAGGUGCAGAAGAAGGACCGGCCAACUACGUGCCAGCCGCCGCCGUAA